CCUCCUACGGGGGGCAGCAGUCGGGAAUAUUGCACAAUGGAGGAAACUCUGAUGCAGUGACACCGCGUAUAGGAAGAAGGUUUUCGGAUUGUAAACUAUUUUAGACAGGGAAGAAAAAAGACAGUACCUGUAGAAUAAGCUCCGGCUAACUACGUGCCAGCAGCCGCGGUAAUACGUAGGGAGCGAGCGUUGUCCGGAUUUACUGGGUGUAAAGGGUGCGUAGGCGGCCCUGCAAGUCAGAAGUGAAAUCCAUGGGCUUAACCCGUGAACUGCUCUUGAAACUGCAGGACUUGAGUGGAGUAGAG
rnacentral:rRNA from 1 species